AACCUGAGGCAUAGCUCAGUUGGUAGAGGAUGAGACUCUUAAUCUCAGGGUCUGGGGUUUGAUCCCCAUGUUGGGUGA
rnacentral:tRNA from 1 species